rnacentral:rRNA from 1 species
GAUGAACGCUGGCGGCGUGCCUAAUACAUGCAAGUCGAGCGAACAGACGAGGAGCUUGCUCCUCUGACGUUAGCGGCGGACGGGUGAGUAACACGUGGAUAACCUACCUAUAAGACUGGGAUAACUUCGGGAAACCGGAGCUAAUACCGGAUAAUAUAUUGAACCGCAUGGUUCAAUAGUGAAAGACGGUUUUGCUGUCACUUAUAGAUGGAUCCGCGCUGCAUUAGCUAGUUGGUAAGGUAACGGAUUACCAAGGCAACGAUGCGUAGCCGACCUGAGAGGGUGAUCGGCCACACUGGAACUGAGACACGGUCCAGACUCCUACGGGAGGCAGCAGUAGGGAAUCUUCCGCAAUGGGCGAAAGCCUGACGGAGCAACGCCGCGUGAGUGAUGAAGGUCUUCGGAUCGUAAAACUCUGUUAUUAGGGAAGAACAAAUGUGUAAGUAACUAUGCACGUCUUGACGGUACCUAAUCAGAAAGCCACGGCUAACUACGUG